AUAGGGCUUCAAAGUAUAUUGAUUUUCCAGCCAUAUGUGUAGUAGAUCGGCAAUUGACAGUUAGCUUCGCCAAACUAAAAUAUUUUAUCACAACAGUAAAAAACAGCCUAUGUGAUUUUGGUCAUAUCUCGGUUUUGGUAAAAUAUGCAGGUACAGCCUUUGUAUGGCAGCAUAGGCAUCGAGGCUGGAACCGGGCCCGGUAGUUGCUUUGGUGAAUCUGAGCUUCAGUAAGGUUCCCAGGCCCGGUAGUUGCUUUGGUGAAUCUGGGCUUCAGUAAGGUUCCCAGGCCCGGUAGUUGCUUUGGUGAAUCUGGGCUUCAGUAAGGUUCCCAGGCCCGGUAGUUGCUUUGGUGAAUCUGGGCUUCAGUAAGGUUCCCAGGCCCGGUAGUUCCUUUGGUGAAUCUGGGCUUCAGUAAGGUUCCCAGGCCCGGUAGUUGCU